UCAGUUUAUUUGUUUCGUCAAAAUAGAAAGGAAAAGAAAGAAGGCCAUUCACAUAAGCCGGAUAAAGCCCAGUCUUUCAUCUUUACACAAACCCGAAAGCAGCCCAUUCCCAUAAGCCCACAAACAACCCUGUCUUUGUCUCUGCAUUUUCUUUUUAGAAAAAAAACGUGAUCACUGUUUGUCUUCUCGACAGAACCAGGACCUUCUGUGUCCGCAUCGAUUCCCCAUUGAAGAUUUCCGUUUCCUCUUCCCAAUCAACCCUGUGACGGCACUCAUACUUACUCUUCCCACGAUCUCCGUUGGAAUCGGAAACGUAUGGAGGAAUCCGACCAGUUUCCGCAUAGUUCGCCCCCUUUAAAAUCUCUGCUCCACCUCCCCCGCCUUCGCUAUCAUCAACCUCCGGUACAGCCGGGUUCUUCCAACUCGCUCAUACCGUUGCUACCACUGGUGAGCAACCCCCUCCCAUUCUCUCUAUGCUCCAUGUUUCCUCAGGUCAUCAAUCAAUUGGACGUCUGCAUCUGUAUUUCAUCUCAACAGUAUUGUUGGUAAUAUCCUGCGUUAACUGAAAAAACUAUACAACCAGCUGCAUUGUUCAUCCAAAUCCUUCCAUGUUACACAGCCACCUAAAUACCUUGAUUUCUUUCUCAGGUAAUCUCUGAGUUUUAGUUUCACAUGGCUUAACUGUAGGUCAUUCUUUACGUCCUCAGGUGUAGGACGUCUUGGCUGCCGAACAAUCCGUUUUACCCCUUCUGCACUGCACACAUGCGCGCCCAAGUAUAGAGAGAGCAACAUGGACCAGGUACUCGACGGCAAGCUAGGAACGUGGAGCACAUCUCGCCAUGGAAAGCUAGGUAACCAUCAGCUCUAGCCAGAACUAUGUUCGUGUAUUCUGAGUCCAGCUAAUCACUGCCAUAUUCUCAUGAAAUUUGGUUUGGAUGUGUGUGUUAUCUCUCGGUUCCUUGCAUGUCUGGAUCAAUUGCUCAUAAUAAUACUUGCUACUGACAGUUAUUCAGAUUUGCAUAAUUGCAUCACUUUUCUCUAUGUGUUUUUAUCCUACAUCACACAAGGUGAGCCCUAUAGUCCUUCAUAAGAGAAUCACACUCACGUUAUGCCCAGGUCGCUCAUCUCAACAUGCAGUACAAAUGAAAGAGUUUGCAAGCUGAACCAUGCUCUCCUCCACGGGAUGUAUUUUGUACUUAGGCUAUAUUUUAAUUUGGUAUUCAUUUACUAUGCACUUCCUCCAUUUUUCUAUUCAAUUGGAUGCACUUCUUCCAAGCAUCCAUGUAUUAUUGGUCAUUUGUGAUUUAUUAAUUUCAAAAAGGAUCAACAACAUGCAUUGAUAUUUUCCUGCCCAAUGUCGAUUAUCAUUGGAACAAUGCUUUGUUGUCUCACAACUGUUAUUGAUCAUAUGUAGCGAAAGCAUCUUUGAACAUAUAUUUUCAGAAGAUUAGCAUAUCCUUAAUUGCUAUGAGUUGUUAUUCCUAAUAAUAAGACUUGAUACUGAAGUAGCACAUGGCAGGAAUGACAUUUUUACGACACCACUAUAGUCAUUGGUGGUUGCUAUGUUACGGGCUUUAACUACCUACGAUAUCUCUCCCUGUCAAUUGUAACAAUUAUCCAAACAAAUGAAGCUUAUUUGUCACUAAUUUUAUUGAACAAAAUUAAAUAUAUUUGUUUGUAAGAUGUUCCUUCAUGACAAAUUUGGUGCAAAUUACUCAUUUGUACUGAUGACACGAAUAUCAUGCCAUUUUAAGAAGUAGCAGAUGAAUCUCUAUGUAGUUUUUACAGCAUACACAUAUUUCUUCUAUAGUUAUUUUAACUAAAUAUGCCGCAACAACGCGCGGGAAAUUAUCUAGUUCUAGUAAAAUUUGGCGACUUGUUUAUGCCGUACUCCAUCAUCUCCAUUUUUACCUUGUUUGUUCGACUUGACACUCAUGCGCCUCCUGAAGCAAAGUUGACACCCUUCAGAUACUUGGACCUUCUGCUUGAGAUGACACGGGUGGACAGGUAUGGAGGAGGGCUGGCCAGCUGCAGCAGGGGCCGUACCUGAGAAAACGGGG